rnacentral:tRNA from 1 species
UCCCUGGUGGCUCAGAUGGUAAAGUGUCUGCCUACAAUGUGGAAGACCCAGGUUCAAUUCCUGAGUCAGGAA